GGCAUAAUGGCCGAGUGGUUAAGGCGAAAGACUUGAAUUACUCAGUUAUCUUUUGGGCUCUGCCCGCGCAGGUUCGAACCCUGCUUAUGUCG
rfam:Babjeviella inositovora NRRL Y-12698 unplaced genomic scaffold BABINscaffold_3, whole genome shotgun sequence.